AGUGAACGCUGGCGGUAGGCCUAGCACAUGCAAGUCGAACGGCAGCACAGUAAGAGCUUGCUCUUACGGGUGGCGAGUGGCGGACGGGUGAGGAAUACAUCGGAAUCUACUUUUUCGUGGGGGAUAACGUAGGGAAACUUACGCUAAUACCGCAUACGACCUACGGGUGAAAGCAGGGGAUCUUCGGACCUUGCGCGAUUGAAUGAGCCGAUGUCGGAUUGGCUAGUUGGCGGGGUAAAGGCCCACCAAGGCGACGAUCCGUAGCUGGUCUGAGAGGAUGAUCAGCCACACUGGAACUGAGACACGGUCCAGACUCCUACGGGAGGCAGCAGUGGGGAAUAUUGGACAAUGGGCGCAAGCCUGAUCCAGCCAUACCGCGUGGGUGAAGAAGGCCUUCGGGUUGUAAAGCCCUUUUGUUGGGAAAGAAAAGCAGCAGGUUAAUACCCCGCUGUUCUGACGGUACCCAAAGAAUAAGCACCGGCUAACUUCGUG
rnacentral:rRNA from 1 species